CUUCACAAUGCUACUCACAUAUCUGCUCCAGCCGUGUGUCAUAUGCCUGCAAGAGUAUUUCAUUUUCGACGUGUUCUUUCUUUUUACGUUUAAAUUUAGAUUUAGUUCCGUUUUCCGAGGCAUUUCUUUUAUGUUUAACCCAGUUUCUUAGCUUCCUUUGGCCAAACUCUGUUUAGUUAAGCUAACCAAAGCAAUCGAAAAUCCACAAGAGCUUAUAUAUCAAAGCAUUUCUACUUAUGGCAUUUGCCUGGCUCACAAGCCCCCCAAUUACUUCAGCUAUUCUCCGGCAUGGGCAGCUGUCAGUUUGAAGUCAAGCAAAUCCCAAUAUUAACUUUUGCCAUCAACAGAUACUUCACAUAUCAUGUUUUUGCUUCUACUUCCCCCACUCUCUUGGCAUCUUUUAAAAUGUGUCCACUUCAAGGCGAUGUCAUCAAGUUGUCAGCUUGUCAUAUCAAAUGAGAGAUAUAUAAGGAUAUACAACUAUAUAGCUGAAUUACAAUCGGAAAAUGCGCAUAAGGUUUUACGAUACAGCCGCAGGCGGCAUUAGUUUGAGUUAUAUGCGCGAGGCAUAUAAAAUUAGGUGCCCUCCCGCCCGCUACCCCACAUGAAACAUAUAAUAAAAAAAAUAAAAAAUCCCCUGAGAGAGAGGAAGGAUGCCGGAAAGCAACGUCAACGGCAGAGGCAACGGUUCUGGUAUCAUAAUUUCGAAAUGACAGGUAAUUUGGGGCAACAACAGGAGCAACAGCAUUGGUUGGGGGCGGCGUGGCAGGAAGACAAGAAAUGAAGUGCGAGCGCCAAAUGGGAAAAUGAUGCGAGUUUAUUAAGUACCGUUACUCAAAAUGUACCCAAAAUCCUCACAAGAAUUUAUGAUGCGCAAUUUCCCCCGCCAAGAAGAAAACUGAAGAAAAUUAAACGCGAAAAAAAGCAAAA